rnacentral:lncRNA from 1 species
GUGACAGGAUCUAUCUGCUGGAAAGCUGCAGGAAUACAAAGAACAGCGAAGGUGCCCUUUAAAUGGAUCAUGCAGCACCACCAUAUGUGGAAAAGACAUGGGAAACAGCCAGACUGAAAAUGCAGCCAAAGACAAAACAUUCCUCCAGUGAUGUGCGACAGGUCUGGGGACAAAGGGAAACCCUUGGAAGAACACCUGGAGCUUAAGCAGCCUGGUCUGGUGUUGGUGGGGAUGUUGGAGGCCAUUGGAGCCCUACCUUGCUGCCAUGCUUGGUCCCAGCUCCCCGUCCCUCAGGCCACAGAUGGCUGUGUCUCCCUGGCAUGACCCCACCGAGAGAAGAGGCAAGUAUCAGGACAACAGCAAAUCUUCUCUCUUGAAAAACAGCAGGCACUGGAGGUGAGUGGCAGCACACAAAUGGCUGUUCUAGAAACUUCUGCCCAGGAGAUGUGAUCACUGAAGCCCAGAGGUUGGCCCUCCAGGCUUCGGCAUGUGCUGUUCACACAGGCUGCAGCAGCGUCGGAAAUGUGGCUGGGAGGAACAAGACCUGACCCAUAACUGCAGGAAGUUAUAAAUAACUGCUAGUUAUUUACAUCUGAAAUAAUCACACUGGUUUUGUUUCCUCACCUGCUUCAGAUGCUGAUUUGACUCCCCAAUGUUAGAUACCAAGGAUGAAUCACCAAGAGGUACCAGCUUCUCUGUACUGACUUGUAAAAGAGUUCUUAAGCAACAAGCCAAGUUGGAGGGCUAACCUUGGGUUGCCUAGAUUGGGCUGCCUAGGCUGUCUCACUCCUGAUUUUGAAACCAGGUGUGGAUCUGCUAUGGCAAUUCAAAACAAAAAUUAAAAAUCAACACCAGUCUUAAGAUAAGGAAAAAUGGGACCGAAACCUGUUGCCCCUGAACUUUGGAAGAAAUUUCUUUCAGCUCUCCAGUGCAUGGGGUGGUUACCACAUCCUGUUUUUACUAAAGUCUCUUUAAAAAAGUCAUGAGUGAUGAUAGAGAUAGAAGAGGAAGAGUCUCAAACUGUUAAAAUGUCCUUGGCUGUCUUUCUGCUACCUGGGUAGAUUUUGCCACGCAGAGUGCUGCUGAUCCUUGAGUGAUUCAGGUGCCCAAACAAGUUUAUUUAAAGCCAGCUUGGGAGCUUGGGUAUUUCUACACUACUCUGGACUUUGGAGAACAGAUAACCCUGAACAUGCAACCGGGCAAGGUGGAGAGGAGUCACACUAUGGUUUAUGGCCUAUACCUUUGCUAUUUUUGGAGGCUGGCUUGAUACAUGCAAGCUAAAAUCCCCAACUGACACCUCUCUGAACCCCUGAGGCUAAGGGCUGAUUAGCUAACUUGCAGGAUUUCUUUACAGAGAAAUACAUUUUCCAUUUGUAUAACUGUGGUCUAAGAAGUUGUUUUAAAGUUAACUUGCACAGAUGCGUCUUUUAAUGUGUUUUCUUUUCCAGUAUGACAGUUCUGGGGAGGUGGAGGGUUAUAAGACAUGACAAAUGCCUACUAUUUGCAAAUUCCAGAAAAAGCAAAAGGCACUAUUUUACUAUUUAAUAGACUUGGCAAGUACCUGGGUACAAAUAUCAGGAAUGUGCUCAAAUAUACAUGCCCAGCAUUUCCAGAAAAAAAAUAAAAAUGGUUUUCUCAAAUGAAAGGUGCA